rnacentral:rRNA from 1 species
AUACGGAGGGAGCGAGCGUUAAUCGGAAUUACUGGGCGUAAAGCGCGCGUAGGCGGCUUUGUAAGUCGGAUGUGAAGGCCCUGGGCUCAACCUGGGAAUUGCAUUCGAUACUGCAGAGCUAGAGUAUGGUAGAGGGAAGUGGAAUUUCCGGUGUAGCGGUGAAAUGCGUAGAUAUCGGAAGGAACACCAGUGGCGAAGGCGACUUCCUGGGCCAAUACUGACGCUGAGGUGCGAAAGCGUGGGGAGCAAACAGGAUUAGAAACCCCAGUAGUCC